rnacentral:tRNA from 1 species
UGGGGUGUAGCCAAGCGGUAAGGCAGCGGUUUUUGGUACCGUGUACCGCAGGUUCGAAUCCUGCCACCCCAGCCA